UACGUAGGGUGCGAGCGUUAAUCGGAAUUACUGGGCGUAAAGCGUGCGCAGGCGGUUCGUUGUGUCGGUGGUGAAAUCCCCGGGCUUAACCUGGGAAUGGCGGUUGAAACUACAGGACUAGAAUCUGGCAGAGGGGGGUGGAAUUCCACGUGUAGCAGUGAAAUGCGUAGAGAUGUGGAGGAACACCGAUGGCGAAGGCAGCCCCCUGGGCUGAGAUUGACGCUCAGGCACGAAAGCGUGGGGAGCAAACAGG
rnacentral:rRNA from 1 species